UGACCUCAAAUCAGGUAGGACUACCCGCUGAACUUAAGCAUAUCAAUAAGCGGAGGAAAAGAAACUAACAAGGAUUCCCCUAGUAACUGCGAGUGAAGCGGGAAAAGCUCAAAUUUAAAAUCUGGCAGUCUUUGGCUGUCCGAGUUGUAAUCUAGAGAAGUGUUAUCCGCGCUGGACCGUGUACAAGUCUCCUGGAAUGGAGCGUCAUAGAGGGUGAGAAUCCCGUCUUUGACACGGACUACCAGGGCUUUGUGAUGCGCUCUCAAAGAGUCGAGUUGUUUGGGAAUGCAGCUCAAAAUGGGUGGUAAAUUCCAUCUAAAGCUAAAUAUUGGCGAGAGACCGAUAGCGAACAAGUACCGUGAGGGAAAGAUGAAAAGAACUUUGGAAAGAGAGUUAAACAGUACGUGAAAUUGCUGAAAGGGAAACGCUUGAAGUCAGUCGCGUUGUCCAGGGAUCAACCUUGCUUUUGCUUGGUGCACUUUCUGGUUGACGGGUCAGCAUCAAUUUUGACCAUUGGAAAAAGAUUAAGGGAAUGUGGCAUCUUUGGAUGUGUUAUAGCCCUUGGUUGCAUACGAUGGUUGGGAUUGAGGAACUCAGCACGCCGCAAGGCCGGGUUUUUAACCACGUACGUGCUUAGGAUG
rnacentral:rRNA from 2 species